rnacentral:rRNA from 1 species
GUCAGCGACUGGGGUGAAGUCGUAACAAGGUAGCCGUAGGGGAACCUGCGGCUGGAUCACCUCCUUUCUAAGG